rnacentral:lncRNA from 1 species
GUACGAUCUCUCCCAUUUUUUUUUGGAGAGAAGAACUUGACUGUGUUGUGGCUUGCUUCUUUCAGAGUUGUUUGCUUAUGCGUAAAUCCCAAGAGCCAAAUUCUUAUGUCGGCUUCUCUAGACAAUACCGUGAGAAUAUGGGACCUGCGAUCAAACGUUUGUCAUGUCAGUAAUAACAGGAGGCUAUUUCUUACUUGUUGAUUUACCAGUUCCAUUUUUUUGAUCUUGUAGGGAUUGAUUCGCGUGCAUGGAAGACCAUCCGUAGCUUACGAUCACAGUGGACUUGUUUUUGG